GAGCACGCGGCACCCAGACACCACGCGCACGCGGCAGGAAGUGGAAGUCACUCUGUAAAUGAGGGGGAUCUUCCUGAAAGGUCCUCCUCUGACCCAAACUAAGGUUCGUCAGUGUUCAGAACAGAAGAAAAAAGCCACACAGAUAUGUUACCUUGUUAAGGAGGCCCUUUCUGCUUCGGUUCUAAUGAAAGUAGCUCCUCCUACCGCCCACCACUGCACUGAAAAAUGUCACUAGGUAAUAAUUGCCAUGGGGAUGGUGGAGCCUGCUGAAGCUGGGGGCGGCCUGACUGAGGACCAUCAUGGAGGUGCGAGGCCUGUCACGCAUCAGCAUCUUCCAAAAUAAAAAAAUAAAAAAAAAUGUUUUUGUGUUUGUUUUAUUCAAGCAGGAUGAGUGACAUAGCUCUGCUUUGACCUUUACGGCUAAAAUGUAACCUUAAGGUCAAAGUGUUUGAACCUUUGCUUUGUGAUAGAAAUAGAAAACAAAGCGGUUUAAUCCUUUAACACUGGAGCUCCAGUGUUUAUGCUCUUAGAUUUGCUGUAACUUUUCAACCGUUAACACGUAAUUCCAGUAGAUUUUGAAGGAGAAAAGCGGCGUGAGCGCCACUUUUCUCCUUCAAAAUCUACUGGAAUUAUUGUGUCAACAGUGACAUAGUACAAAUUUGAGUUAAGAGUCACCAGCUGUUAAAGGGUUAAGGCCCCACAAAGAGGGAGGAGCUAAAAAAAAAAAAAAAAGCGUGCAUCAAAAAUCAUUUAAAAACAUAGAAACUUUUUAUUACCUCUUCAUCACACAUUCAUCUGUUUUUUUCUUCUGUGGAAGUUAUUCUUUAUUUUAAUCACAGCAUUAAAAAAAAAUGUCAAAUACGAACACAAAUGUUCCACAUCAUUCACAGUUUUCGACAGGAUGAGAAGAAGGUAGUAAACUCAGCAAGCUAUUGAGUUUCAUUUGGUAAUGUCACGGAAACACCCUUCUGAAAAAAGCAGCGUUAAAAACCCUGUUUCCAUUGUACAUAAGAAAAUGUUCCUGGAGUCAUUCAUGUUUAGGGGUCAAAUCAGGGUCAAUGGAAAACAAGAUUGAAAAUUUAAAAAAAAGAACAUUUAAAAGCAGUUUUAAACUCCAAAAUAAGUAUUUUAAACUUUAGGAAAUGAUAAAAAAUGAAAAAAAUAAAAUCUAACAUUUAAAAAAUAU